GACGAACGCUGGCGGCGUGCUUAACACAUGCAAGUCGAACGGAAAGGCCCUGCUUUUGUGGGGUGCUCGAGUGGCGAACGGGUGAGUAACACGUGAGUAACCUGCCCUUGACUUUGGGAUAACUUCAGGAAACUGGGGCUAAUACCGGAUAGGAUCUCCUGCUGCAUGGUGGGGGUUGGAAAGUUUCGGCGGUUGGGGAUGGACUCGCGGCUUAUCAGCUUGUUGGUGGGGUAGUGGCUUACCAAGGCUUUGACGGGUAGCCGGCCUGAGAGGGUGACCGGCCACAUUGGGACUGGGAUACGGCCCAGACUCCUACGGGAGGCAGCAGUGGGGAAUAUUGCACAAUGGGCGGAAGCCUGAUGCAGCAACGCCGCGUGCGGGAUGACGGCCUUCGGGUUGUAAACCGCUUUCGCCUGUGACGAAGCGUGAGUGACGGUAAUGGGUAAAGAAGCACCGGCUAACUACGUG
rnacentral:rRNA from 1 species